GAUGAACGCUGGCGGCGUGCCUAAUACAUGCAAGUCGAGCGAACAGACGAGGAGCUUGCUCCUCUGACGUUAGCGGCGGACGGGUGAGUAACACGUGGAUAACCUACCUAUAAGACUGGGAUAACUUCGGGAAACCGGAGCUAAUACCGGAUAAUAUAUUGAACCGCAUGGUUCAAUAGUGAAAGACGGUUUUGCUGUCACUUAUAGAUGGAUCCGCGCCGCAUUAGCUAGUUGGUAAGGUAACGGCUUACCAAGGCAACGAUGCGUAGCCGACCUGUGAGGGUGAUCGGCCACCCUGGAGCUGAGACACCGUCAAGACUCCUACGGGAGGCAGCAGUAGGGAAUCUUCGGCAAUGGGCGAAAGCCUGACGGAGCAACGCCGCGUGAGUGAUGAAGGUCUUCGGAUCGUAAAACUCUGUUAUUAGGGAAGAACAAAUGUGUAAGUAACUAUGCACGUCUUGACGGUACCUAAUCAGAAAGCAACGGCUAACUACGUG
rnacentral:rRNA from 1 species